CUUCCAGCUUCUGGUGUCGGCUGUUCCUCCUUGGUUUGUGGCUGCAUCACUCUGGUUUUUAAUGCCAGCAUCUUGAAAUGUGUCAGCUCUGUGGUCACAUCACCUUCUUUUCUGACAUGACAGGCU